UGGGGAAUAUUGGACAAUGGGGGGAACCUUGAUCCAGCCAUGCCGCGUGUGUGAAGAAGGCCUUAUGGUUGUAAAGCACUUUAAGCGAGGAGGAGGGUACUGGUAUUAAUACUACCAGCUACUGGACGUUACUCGCAGAAUAAGCACCGGCUAACUCUGUGCCAGCAGCCGCGGUAAUACAGAGGGUGCGAGCGUUAAUCGGAUUUACUGGGCGUAAAGCGUGCGUAGGCGGCUAAUUGAGUCGGAUGUGAAAUCCCCGAGCUUAACUUGGGAAUUGCAUUCGAUACUGGUUAGCUAGAGUGUGGGAGAGGAUGGUAGAAUUCCAGGUGUAGCGGUGAAAUGCGUAGAGAUCUGGAGGAAUACCGAUGGCGAAGGCAGCCAUCUGGCCUAACACUGACGCUGAGGUACGAAAGCAUGGGGAGCAAACAGG
rnacentral:rRNA from 1 species